rnacentral:rRNA from 1 species
AUUGAACGCUGGCGGCAGGCCUAACACAUGCAAGUCGAACGAGUGGCGGACGGGUGAGUAAUGUCUGGGACACUGCCUGAUGGAGGGGGAUAACUACUGGAAACGGUAGCUAAUACCGCAUACACUCAGCUGUGCCCAGAUGGGAUUAGCUAUUUGGUGGGGUAACGGAUCACCACGGCGACGAUCCCUAGCUGGUCUGAGAGGAUGACCAGCCACACUGGAACUGAGAAACGGUCCAGACUCCUACGGGAGGCAGCAGUGGGGAAUAUUGCACAAUGGGCGCAAGCCUGAUGCAGCCAUGCCGCUUGUAUGAAGAAGGCCUUCGGGUUGUAAAGUACUUUCAGCGGGGAGGCGUUACCAGCAGAAGAAGCACCGGCUAACUCCGUGCCAGCAGCCGCGGUAAUUC